UGCGUUCCUUGUCUUGAUUUAAUUCAUUUCAAAUGAUAAUAUAUUUCAAAAUUCUUAGUAGUUCUAAAUGUACAUUACUGAUAAGUGUAGUUCACGAAUUGCGAGUAUCUCUAUGUGAUUAUUGAAGAACAGCUAGAAAUUUCAUUCGCCUCGCUACACACACAUUGUUCCAGAAGGCAGAUACCAUUUUUAUUUUCCCAUUGGGUGUGGUAUCGGUGUGUCCGAUUCGAUCCGACAUUGCGUCAUGCGGUUGACACCUUUUUACAACGAAUGAUCGAGCUUUUCCACCCCGUCACGGUCGAGCAGAUCAUUGAAUCAGCCCCGCCCUUACCCCCGAUAAGUUCACCGACCCACGUGUUCGCGUAUGGUACCUAUAAAAGCUCACUUAGCAUCAGCUUGUACGGCAAUGUUCCCCCGUGAUGCCUGAUGGAAAGUCGUUGCUCGGAAUCUCGGUAGCCACUGUCUUCUGAUCUCGAACGUAUCAUGGCUGUCGAUCGAAGGAAAGAAACAGAAUCGUCCUCGAGUCAUUCUUGAAUCGUAGUUACGUUUUUCAAACCGGGAAUUUUUUCGUCAUGGAUGGAAGACGAAUGCAGACGAUGGCCAACCGAAUACGACGUUGCUCUAGGCGAUUCACGGGUCAUCGACGUACCAGAAGACCGUCGAAGGAUCCAUCGAUCGAGCUUCCUUGAUACCCGGCAACUCGUCAGACGUUAACGAUCCAACCAGAACCGAUAUCUACCUCGUUAUCGACCACACCUCUCGUCAUUCUUGCCUGCGGUCCGCGAGCAACGCGAAAACAGUCGGACAACCUUCUUGCUUUAUAUCCGGCAGAGAUAGAUCCCGUAGAAUGCCAACGGUAGCGAACUAUCUGUCCGCUCGUAACUCGGAUCGCAAUUGAUUUAUCGCGAUCAAUCGAUCACUAUUGUUAGUCAAACCAUGGGUUAAUCAAUUUGACGGGAAUAAUUUUGGCUGUUUAAUUAAAAUUUGAAAUUGUAAUAAUGACUUAUUAAAAUUGACUGAAUUGCAAAA